CAAGUCGAACGCGAAAGCCCCUUCGGGGGCAAGUAGAGUGGCGCACGGGUGAGUAACACGUAGGUAAUCUACCUUCGGAUGGGGAAUAACAACCGGAAACGGUUGCUAAUACCGCAUAAUGCAGCGGCACCUAAUGGUGACAGUUGUUAAAGCGGGGGAUCGCAAGACCUCGCGUCUGAAGAGGAGCCUGCGGCGGAUUAGCUAGUUGGUAGGGUAACGGCCUACCAAGGCGACGAUCCGUAGCCGGCCUGAGAGGGCGGUCGGCCACACUGACACUGACAUACGGGUCAGACUCCUACGGGAGGCAGCAGUCGGGAAUUUUGGGCAAUGGGCGAAAGCCUGACCCAGCAACGCCGCGUGAAGGAUGAAAUCCCUCGGGAUGUAAACUUCGCAAGAACGGGAAGAAUAAGUCUGCGCGAACAUCGCAGGCGAUGACGGUACCGUUUGUAAGCUCCGGCUAACUCCGUGCCAGCAGCCGCGGUAAUACGGGGGGAGCAAGCGUUGUUCGGAUUUACUGGGCGUAAAGGGCGCGUAGGCGGCCACUGCAAGUCAAUUGUGAAAUCUCCGGGCUUAACUCGGAAAGGUCAACUGAUACUGCAGGGCUAGAGUGCGGAAGGGGCAACUGGAAUUCUCGGUGUAGCGGUGAAAUGCGUAGAUAUCGAGAGGAACAUCUGCGGCGAAGGCGGGUUGCUGGGCCGACACUGACGCUGAGUGCGCGAAAGCUAGGGGAGCGAACGGGAUUAGAUACCCCGGUAGUCCUAGCCUUAAACGAUGAAUGCUUGGUGUCUGGGGUUUUAUA
rnacentral:rRNA from 1 species